CCUACGGGUGGCAGCAGUGAGGAAUAUUGGUCAAUGGACGCAAGUCUGAACCAGCCAUGCCGCGUGCAGGAAGACGGCUCUAUGAGUUGUAAACUGCUUUUGUACGAGGGUAAACGCAGAUACGCGAAUCUGUCUGAAAGUAUCGUACGAAUAUGGAUCGGCUAACUCCGUGCCAUCAGCCGCGGUAAUACGGAGGAUUCAAGCGUUAUCCGGAUUUAUUGGGUUUAAAGGGUGCGUAGGCGGUUGGAUAAGUUAGAGGUGAAAUCCCGAGGCUCAACUUCGGAAUUGCCUCUGAUACUGUUCGGCUAGAGAGUAGUUGCGGUAGGUGGAAUGUAUGGUGUAGCGGUGAAAUGCUUAGAGAU
rnacentral:rRNA from 1 species